rnacentral:sRNA from 1 species
GCAGCUUGCACAUCGUCUUCUUAGGCCC